AAUGAACGCUGGCGGCAUGCCUAACACAUGCAAGUCGAACGAAGUCUUCGGACUUAGUGGCGCACGGGUGCGUAACGCGUGGGAAUCUGCCUUGGGGUUCGGAAUAACUCCCCGAAAGGGGUGCUAAUACCGGAUGAUGUCGAAAGACCAAAGAUUUAUCGCCCUGAGAUGAGCCCGCGUAAGAUUAGCUAGUUGGUGGG
rnacentral:rRNA from 1 species